CACGGGCCAGCAGCCGGCCUACGAGAGAUAUUGGUUCAUGUAAAAACUGACUGUUAGCAUAGAGGAUUAUAUAUUGGUGUUUUUUUGAAAAAAACAUACAACCAGACAUUAUAUACUCACCUUCAGAGAUCCAAGCGAUGGAUCGAUAAGAUAGAGGAACUUGCCACUAUUAUUAAUUUUCUAAACUUUUUGAAAGCAAAACAUAAGGGAGAGGAAUGUUGAAUCUGUCAAGAGUCGCUGGCCCUAAUAAUGUGCACCGUUUGCGUAUUUAGACAAUGACAUAGCCUCACAAACAACUUCUAGGAAACCUAUCUUACCAACUGUCAACUCUACAUAAGUCAACCUAAACGGCCUUGAGUU
rnacentral:lncRNA from 1 species